AUUGAACGCUGGCGGCAUGCCUUACACAUGCAAGUCGAACGGUAACAGGUCUUCGGAUGCUGACGAGUGGCGAACGGGUGAGUAAUACAUCGGAACGUGCCUAGUAGUGGGGGAUAACUACUCGAAAGAGUGGCUAAUACCGCAUGAGAUCUACGGAUGAAAGCAGGGGAUCGCAAGACCUUGUGCUACUAGAGCGGCCGAUGGCAGAUUAGGUAGUUGGUUGGAUAAAAGCUUACCAAGCCGACGACCUGUAGCUGGUCUGAGAGGACGACCAGCCACACUGGGACUGAGACACGGCCCAGACUCCUACGGGAGGCAGCAGUGGGGAAUUUUGGACAAUGGGCGAAAGCCUGAUCCAGCAAUGCCGCGUGCAGGAUGAAGGCCUUCGGGUUGUAAACUGCUUUUGUACGGAACGAAAAGCCCUGGGUUAAUACCCUGGGGUCAUGACGGUACCGUAAGAAUAAGCACCGGCUAACUACGUGCCAGCCGCCGCCGUAA
rnacentral:rRNA from 1 species